UGGAAGAGAAAUAGUGGAUCUAGGGUAAGCGGUAAAUGCGUAGAUAUAGACGUACACAGUGGCGAUGCGACUAUCUCGACAGGUACUGACGCUGAAGCGCGAAAGCGUGGGGAGCAAACAGGAUUAGAUACCCUGUAGUCAGCCGUAAACGAUGAAUACUAGUGUAGGGGUAUCGACUCCCCCUGUGCGCAGCUAACGCAAUAAGUAUCCACCUGGGGAGUACGGCGCAAGGGUGAAACUC
rnacentral:rRNA from 1 species